rnacentral:rRNA from 1 species
UACGUAGGUGGCAAGCGUUAUCCGGAUUUACUGGGUGUAAAGGGCGUGUAGGCGGGAAAGCAAGUCAGAUGUGAAAACCAUGGGCUCAACCUGUGGCCUGCAUUUGAAACUGUUUUUCUUGAGUACUGGAGAGGCAGACGGAAUUCCUAGUGUAGCGGUGAAAUGCAUAGAUAUCACGCAGAACCCCGAUUGCGAAGGCAGCAUACCGGUGCACAACUGACGCUCAGGCACGAAAGCGUGGGUAUCGAACAGG